rnacentral:rRNA from 1 species
GACGAACGCUGGCGGCGUGCUUAACACAUGCGAGUCGAACGAAGAGCGAUGGAAGCUUGCUUCUAUCAAUCUUAGUGGCGAACGGGUGAGUAACGCGUAAUCAACCUGCCCUUCAGAGGGGGACAACAGUUGGAAACGACUGCUAAUACCGCAUACGAUCUAACCUCGGCAUCGAGGAUAGAUGAAAGGUGGCCUCUACAUGUAAGCUAUCACUGAAGGAGGGGAUUGCGUCUGAUUAGCUAGUUGGAGGGGUAACGGCCCACCAAGGCGAUGAUCAGUAGCCGGUCUGAGAGGAUGAACGGCCACAUUGGGACUGAGACACGGCCCAGACUCCUACGGGAGGCAGCAGUGGGGAAUCUUCCGCAAUGGACGAAAGUCUGACGGAGCAACGCCGCGUGAGUGAUGACGGCCUUCGGGUUGUAUAGCUCUGUUAAUCGGGACGAAAGGCCUUCUUGCGAAUAGUGAGAAGGAUUGACGGUACCGGAAUAGAAAGCCACGGCUAACUACGUG